rnacentral:rRNA from 1 species
GACGAACGCUGGCGGCGUGCCUAAUACAUGCAAGUCGAGCGAAGUUUUUCUGGUGCUUGCACCGGAAAAACUUAGCGGCGAACGGGUGAGUAACACGUAAAGAACCUGCCUCAUAGACUGGGACAACUAUUGGAAACGAUAGCUAAUACCGGAUAAUAGCAUUAACUGCAUGGUUGAUGUUUAAAAGUUGGUUUUGCUAACACUAUGAGAUGGCUUUGCGGUGCAUUAGCUAGUUGGUGGGGUAAAGGCCUACCAAGGCGACGAUGCAUAGCCGACCUGAGAGGGUGAUCGGCCACACUGGGACUGAGACACGGCCCAGACUCCUACGGGAGGCAGCAGUAGGGAAUCUUCCGCAAUGGGCGAAAGCCUGACGGAGCAACGCCGCGUGAGUGAAGAAGGAUUUCGGUUCGUAAAGCUCUGUUGUUAGGGAAGAAUGAUUGUGUAGUAACUAUACACAGCAGAGACGGUACCUAACCAGAAAGCCACGGCUAACUACGU